rnacentral:rRNA from 1 species
CCCUUAGAUGUUCUGGGCCGCACGCGCGUUACACUGAUGCAUUCAACGAGUUCUUCCUUGGCCGAGAGGCCUGGGCAAUCUUUUGAACGUGCAUCGUGAUAGGGAUAGAUUAUUGCAAUUAUUAAUCUUGAACGAGGAAUUCCUAGUAAACGCAGUUCAUCAAACUGCAUUGAUUACGUCCCUGCCCUUUGUACACACCGCCCGUCGCACCUACCGAUUGAAUGGUCCGGUGAAGCCUCGGGAUUGCACAGGCCCCGUGUCUGGCGCGAGAAGUUGGCUAAACCUUACCAUUUAGAGGAAGGUGAANUCGUANCA